GCCAGGUGUAGUGGUGCACACCUGUAAUCCCAGCUACUCGGGAGGCUGAGGCAGGAGAAUCACUUGAACCCAGGAGGCAGAGGUUGCAGUGAGCACUGCACUCUAGCCUGGGUGACAGAGCGAGACUCUGUCUCAA
rnacentral:sRNA from 1 species